GACCCCAUCGUCUAGCCUGGCCUAGGACAUCACCCUUUCACGGUGGUGACGCGGGUUCGAAUCCCGCUGGGGUCG
rnacentral:tRNA from 1 species